rnacentral:rRNA from 1 species
AACGAACGCUGGCGGCGCGUCUUAAGCAUGCAAGUCGAACGGCAAGAGAGGAGCUUGCUUCUCGCCUAGAGUGGCGGACUGGUGAGGAACACGUGGGUAAUCUACCCUUAAGAUGGGGAUAGCUGCUAGAAAUAGCAGGUAAUACCGAAUACACUCGGCAUAUCACAAGAGGUGUUGAGGAAAGGAAGCUACGGCUUCGCUUGAGGAUGAGCUUGCGUCCCAUUAGCUAGUUGGUGAGGUAAAGGCCCACCAAGGCGACGAUGGGUAUCCGGACUGAGAGGGUGACCGGCCACACUGGGACUGAGACACGGCCCAAACUCCUACGGGAGGCAGCAGCGAAGAAUAUUCCGCAAUGGACGGAAGUCUGACGGAGCGACGCCGCGUGGACGAUGAAGGCUGACGGGUUGUAAAAUACUUUUGUUGGUGAAGAAUAAUGGUGAGAUGAAAUGCUCAGCUGAUGACGGUAAUCGACGAAUAAGCCCCGGCUAACUACGUG